AGGACAAACGCUGGCGGCGUGCCUAAAACAUGCAAGUCGAACGAGGGACUUCGGUCCCGAGUGGCGAACGGCUGAGUAACACGUGGGUGACCUACCUUCUUGUGGGGGAUAACGGUCCGAAAGGGCUGCGUAAUACCGCAUGUCGUCCCGGGUUCGUGCCCGGGCAAAAAGCUCGCGAAGGAGCGCAAGUAGAGGGGCCCGCGGCCGAUUAGCUUGUUGGUGGGGUAACGGCUACCAAGGCGACGAUCGGUAGCUGGUCUGAGAGGACGAUCAGCCAGACUGGGACUGCGACACGGCCCAGACUCCUACGGAGGCAGCAGUAGAAUUUGGCAGUGGGGAACCUGACCAGCAACGCGCGUGGGAUGAAGGCUUUCGGGUAGUAAACCCUUUCCGAGGGAAGAGUAGUGACGGUACCGUGGGAA
rnacentral:rRNA from 1 species